ACAACAUGAUGGGGACAUUUAUGAAUUAAAUCCUUAAGUCUUUCCCAGGUCUCAUGGAAUUGCUCACCAUCAACUUGCGAAAAGCUAGUGAUGGCUCGCCUAAUUUG